rnacentral:tRNA from 1 species
ACUGAGGUGGCUCAGUGGUAGAGUGCUUGCCUUGCAUGCAUGAGGCCCUAGGUUUAAUUCCUCAGCA